rnacentral:rRNA from 1 species
UACGGAGGGUGCAAGCGUUGCUCGGAAUUAUUGGGCGUAAAGGGUAGGUAGGUGGUCUCAUUUGUCUGUGGUGAAAGCCUUGGGCUUAACCCAAGAAGUGCCGCGGAAACGGUGAGACUUGAGUCCUGGAGAGGGUCGUGGAAUUCCCGGUGUAGCGGUGAAAUGCGUAGAGAUCGGGAGGAACACCAGAGGCGAAGGCGGCGACCUGGACAGGCACUGACACUCAACUACGAAAGCAUGGGGAGCAAACAGG